rnacentral:rRNA from 1 species
UGGGGAAUUUUCCGCAAUGGGCGAAAGCCUGACGGAGCAAUACCGCGUGAGGGAGGAAGGCUCUUGGGUUGUAAACCUCUUUUCUCAAGGAAGAACACAAUGACGGUACUUGAGGAAUCAGCAUCGGCUAACUCCGUGCCAGCAGCCGCGGUAAUACGGAGGAUGCAAGCGUUAUCCGGAAUGAUUGGGCGUAAAGCGUCCGCAGGUGGUGAUGUAAGUCUGCUGUUAAAGAGUGAGGCUCAACCUCAUAAAAGCAGUGGAAACUACAUGACUAGAGUGCGUUCGGGGCAGAGGGAAUUCCUGGUGUAGCGGUGAAAUGCGUAGAUAUCAGGAAGAACACCGGUGGCGAAAGCGCUCUGCUAGGCCGCAACUGAC